rnacentral:tRNA from 1 species
GUUAACGUAGCUUAAGUAAAGCAUAACACUGAAGCUGUUAAGAUAAGCCCGAACAAGGCUUCGUAAACA